rnacentral:rRNA from 1 species
AACGAACGCUGGCGGCAGGCCUAACACAUGCAAGUCGAACGCUCGUAGCAAUACGGGAGUGGCAGACGGGUGAGUAACGCGUGGGAACAUACCCUUUGGUUCGGAAUAACUUGAGGAAACUUGAGCUAAUACCGGAUACGGCAGAGAUGCGAAAGAUUUAUCGCCGAAGGAUUGGCCCGCGUUCGAUUAGCUAGUUGGUGAGGUAAUGGCUCACCAAGGCGACGAUCGAUAGCUGGUCUGAGAGGAUGACCAGCCACACUGGGACUGAGACACGGCCCAGACUCCUACGGGAGGCAGCAGUGGGGAAUAUUGGACAAUGGGCGCAAGCCUGAUCCAGCCAUGCCGCGUGAAUGAUGAAGGCCUUAGGGUUGUAAAGUUCUUUCGCCAGGGACGAUAAUGACGGUACCUGGAUAAGAAGCCCCGGCUAACUUCGUGCCAGCAGCCGCGG